rnacentral:misc_RNA from 1 species
AGCACCACGAGAAACACUCCAAUUGGUGGGGUGUGAGCCGUGAGGGGUUCUCGUCUGUAGUGGACGAGGGCCGGGUGCACAACAACAGGCAAUCGCCAGACACUAUUGGGCCCUGAGACAACACUCGGCCGACUUCGGUUGAAGUGGUGUCCCUCCAUCUUGGUGGUGGGGUGUGGUGUUUGAGUAUUGGAUAGUGGUUGCGA